rnacentral:rRNA from 1 species
AUUGAACGCUGGCGGCAGGCCUAACACAUGCAAGUCGAACGGUAACAGGAAGAAGCUUGCUUCUUUGCUGACGAGUGGCGGACGGGUGAGUAAUGUCUGGGAAACUGCCUGAUGGAGGGGGAUAACUACUGGAAACGGUAGCUAAUACCGCAUAACGUCGCAAGACCAAAGAGGGGGACCUUCGGGCCUCUUGCCAUCGGAUGUGCCCAGAUGGGAUUAGCUAGUAGGUGGGGUAACGGCUCACCUAGGCGACGAUCCCUAGCUGGUCUGAGAGGAUGACCAGCCACACUGGAACUGAGACACGGUCCAGACUCCUACGGGAGGCAGCAGUGGGGAAUAUUGGAAAAUGGGCGCAAGCCUGAUGCAGACAUGCCGCGUGUAUGAAGAAGGCCUUCGGGUUGUAAAGUACUUUCAGCGGGGAGGAAGGGAGUAAAGUUAAUACCUUUGCUCAUUGACGUUACCCGAAGAAGAAGAACCGGCUAACUCCGUG